rnacentral:miRNA from 1 species
UGAUGAUGAUGAUGAUGAUGAUGAUGAUGAUAACGAUGACGAUAUCUACUAUUAUUGCUUAAAUCUGAGUCGUCUAUUAUCAUCAUCAGGCUGC